CCUACGGGAGGCAGCAGUGGGGAAUAUUGGACAAUGGGGGCAACCCUGAUCCAGCCAUGCCGCGUGUGUGAAGAAGGCCCUCGGGUUGUAAAGCACUUUCAGUGAGGAAGAACGCCUGGUGGUUAAUACCCAUCAGGAAAGACAUCACUCACAGAAGAAGCACCGGCUAACUCCGUGCCAGCAGCCGCGGUAAUACGGAGGGUGCGAGCGUUAAUCGGAAUUACUGGGCGUAAAGCGCGCGUAGGUGGCUUGAUAAGCCGGUUGUGAAAGCCCCGGGCUCAACCUGGGAACGGCAUCCGGAACUGUCAAGCUAGAGUGCAGGAGAGGAAGGUAGAAUUCCCGGUGUAGCGGUGAAAUGCGUAGAGAUCGGGAGGAAUACCAGUGGCGAAGGCGGCCUUCUGGACUGACACUGACACUGAGGUACGAAAGCGUGGGUAGCAAACAGGAUUAGAUACCCUUGUAGUC
rnacentral:rRNA from 1 species